rnacentral:rRNA from 1 species
UUUCAGUACCUUGAGGACAAGAUUGCGGGCAAGCUCCCACCUUGGUCGGCUAUGCAUGUGGCUGCCCUUGGACACAUCAUUUUGGUCAAAGUGGUCCUCACGGCCAUAGCAAUCUAUCAUCUAACACCUCUAGAUAUCCCAGUUGAAGUUCGGAAGAAAAUCGAUAGCCUGAGACAUGCCUAUAUUUGGGCAGGCUACGACAAGGUGUCAGGCGGCAAAUGUAAGGUUAACUGGAAUCUAGUCUGCAAGCCCAAGAUUUAUGGCGGCCUGGGUGUGCUAAACCUCAAGAAAUUUGCGACCACUCUUUGA